rnacentral:rRNA from 1 species
AGUGAACGCUGGCGGUAGGCCUAACACAUGCAAGUCGAACGGCAGCACAGUAAGAGCUUGCUCUUACGGGUGGCGGGUGGCGGACGGGUGAGGAAUACAUCGGAAUCUACUUUUUCGUGGGGGAUAAGGUAGGGAAACUUACGCUAAUACCGCAUACGGCCUACGGGUGGAAGCAGGGGAUCUUCGGACCUUGCGCGAUUGAAUGAGCCGAUGUCGGAUUAGCUAGUUGGCGGGGUAAAGGCCCACCAAGGCGACGAUCCGUAGCUGGUCUGAGAGGAUGAUCAGCCACACUGGAACUGAGACACGGUCCAGACUCCUACGGGAGGCAGCAGUGGGGAAUAUUGGACAAUGGGCGCAAGCCUGAUCCAGCCAUACCGCGUGGGUGAAGAAGGCCUUCGGGUUGUAAAGCCCUUUUGUUGGGAAAGAAAAGCAGCAGGUUAAUACCCCGCUGUUCUGACGGUACCCAAAGAAUAAGCACCGGCUAACUUCGUG